rnacentral:rRNA from 1 species
GACGAACGCUGGCGGCGUGCUUAACACAUGCAAGUCGAACGAAGUGGCGAACGGGUGAGUCACGCGUAAUCAACCUGCUCUUCAGAGGGGGACAACAGUUGGAAACGACUGCUAAUACCGCAUACUGAAGGAGGGGAUUGCGUCUGAUUUGCUAGUGGGUGGGGUAACGGCCCACCAAGGCGAUGAUCAGUAGCCGGUCUCGAAGGAGGAACGGCCACAAUGGGACUGGGACACGGCCCAGACUCCUACGGGGAGGAGCCGUGGGGAAUCUUCCGCAAUGGCCGGAAAUCUGACGGAGCAACGCCGCGUGAGUGAUGACGGCCUUCGGGUUGUAAAACUCUGUUAAUCGGGACGCGGUACCGGAAUAGAAAGCCACGGCUAACUACGUGCCAGCAGCCGCGGUAAUUC